rnacentral:misc_RNA from 1 species
GGAAGUAAAAGACGUAACAAGGUUUCCGUAGGUGAACCUGCGGAAGGAUCAUUAAUGAGUUGUCAUGGGGUUCGAUGCUGGCAGCCAGUUUUUGGAUGCAUGUGCUUGCCCUAACAAUCAUCUUCUUCCAAACACCUGUGCACAUUUUUGAGGGAGUCUUGAGUUGGUUGCCGCUCUUGGGUGAUUUUCUCACAUUCCCUUAAAUCAUUAUAGGCUAUUAACAAUGUUGAACGUGCUCUGUGCCGCAAGGCCAUUAAUAUAAUACAACUUUUAACAACGGAUCUCUUGGCUCUC